rnacentral:rRNA from 1 species
CCUACGGGAGACAGCAGUGAGGAAUAUUGGUCAAUGGCCGGAAGGCUGAACCAGCCAUGCCGCGUGAAGGUCAGUGCCCUAUGGGCGUUAAACUUCUUUUGUGCGGGAGCAAUAAUGGUCACGUGUGGCCAGACGAGAGUACCGUACGAAUAAGCAUCGGCUAACUCCGUGCCAGCAGCCGCGGUAAUACGGGGGAUGCAAGCGUUAUCCGGAUUUAUUGGGUUUAAAGGGUGCGUAGGCUGUGAGGUAAGUCAGCGGUGAAAUGCCCCCGCUCAACGGGGUGAAGUGCCAUUGAUACUGGCUGGCUGGAAUGCGGAUGCGGUGGGAGGAAUGUGUGGUGUAGCGGUGAAAUGCAUAGAUAUCACACAGAACACCGAUUGCGAAGGCAUCUCACGAAUCCGCGAUUGACGCUGAUGCACGAAAGCGUGGGUAUCAAACAGGAUUAGAUACCCGGGUAGUC